UACGGAGGGUGCGAGCGUUGUCCGGAAUCACUGGGCGUAAAGGGCGCGUAGGCGGCUCUGUAAGUCGCUUGUGAAAUCCCGCGGCUCAACUGCGGGGCUGCAGGCGAGACUGCAAGGCUAGAGCUCGGUAGAGGCGAGUGGAAUUCCCGGUGUAGCGGUGGAAUGCGUAGAUAUCGGGAAGAACACCGGUGGCGAAGGCGGCUCGCUGGGCCGAUGCUGACGCUGAGGCGCGAAAGCGUGGGGAGCAAACAGG
rnacentral:rRNA from 1 species